UCGUGAGACAGUUCGGUCCCUAUCUGUUGUGGGCGCGGGAGACUUGAGGGGCUCUGGCACUAGUACGAGAGGACCGUGCCGGACGGACCUACGGUAUGCCGGUUGUGCCGCCAGGCGCAUCGCCGGGUAGCCGCGUCCGGGAAGGAUAAGCGCUGAAGGCAUCUAAGCGCGAAGCCUGCCCCGAGAUUAGGUCUCCAUAGAGGGCCGUCGGAGACUACGACGUCGAUAGGCCGCAGGUGCAAGCGCGGCGACGCGCUCAGCCGAGCGGUACUAAUAGCCCGAGAGCUUCUUGUA
rnacentral:rRNA from 1 species